rnacentral:rRNA from 1 species
GACGAACGCUGGCGGCGUGCUUAACACAUGCAAGUCGAACGGUGAAGCGCCUUCCUUUUUGGUGGGUGUGGAUGAGUGGCGAACGGGUGAGUAACACGUGAGUAACCUGCCCCCUUCUUCUGGAUAACCGCAUGAAAGUGUGGCUAAUACGGGAUAUUCUGGGUCUGUCGCAUGAUGGGUCUGGGAAAGAUAUUGUUUCGGUGGGGGAUGGGCUCGCGGCCUAUCAGCUUGUUGGUGGGGUGAUGGCCUACCAAGGCGGUGACGGGUAGCCGGCCUGAGAGGGUGGACGGUCACAAUGGGACUGAGGAACCGGCCAGACUCCUACGGGGGGCAGCAGGGGGGAAUAGUGGACAAUGGGGGGAAGGCUGAUGCAGGGACGCCGCGGGAGGGAUGGAGGCCUGUGGGUUGUGAACCUCUUUCGCCAGUGAAGCAGGCCUGCCUCGUUUGUGGGUGGGUUGACGGUAGCUGGAUAAGAAGCGCCGGCUAACUACGUG